rnacentral:rRNA from 1 species
AAUCGCGGAUCAGCAUGCCGCGGUGAAUACGUUCCCGGGCCUUGUACACACCGCCCGUCACACCAUGGGAGUCGGUAACACCCGAAGCCUGUAGUCUAACCGCAAGGGGGACGCAGUCGAAGGUGGGAUUGAUGACUGGGGUGAAGUCGUAACAAGGUAGC